GCAAACUUGGUCAUUUAGAGGAAGUAAAAGUCGUAACAAGGUCUCCGUUGGUGAACCAGCGGAGGGAUCAUUACCGGGUCGGCGACUGCCCGAAACCACACCGUGCACCGUCUUUUUUUGUGUACAGUCGACGCCUUUGGAGAGGCUUAGCAUGCUCGCCGGGGGAGUUUGCGGGACCGGGAGGCGAAAGCCUGCCGGGCCGGCCGAUCGGGGGGCGUCGCCCUUUUAGAACAGCGUUGAGAAAGAACUUCAGAAGGUAUUUCGGCGGCUUUCGGGCCCCGUAAAAAACCUAGUCACAACUCACAACAAUGGAUCUCUUGGCUCCGGCAUCGAUGAAGAACGCAGC
rnacentral:misc_RNA from 1 species